rnacentral:lncRNA from 1 species
GAGAUCAUGUGGUCUUUUGUCUUUCUGUGCCUGCCUGAUUUUACUUAGCAUACUGUCUUCCAGGUUCAUUCAUGUUUCUUCCAAUGACUGAAUUUUCUUCUUUAUUUUUUGAGAUGGACUUUCACUCUUGUUGCUGACGCUGGAGUGCAAUGAUGCGAUCUUGGCUCACUGCAACCUCCGCCUCCUGGGAUGAAGGGAUUCUCCUGCCUCAGCCUCCUGAAUAUCUGGGAUUACAGGAGGAGUCGACGAGAGAAAAAGUGAGGCAAGGACGCAUGGAGAGUACGGCCAUAUAAACAAGCACAGCAGGCACCUUAUCACGUGCCCAGAACUGCGGGCGUGAUUAUUUAUAACAACUCCAAACUACUGUGAUCUCUGACUACAGAGUUCUCUUUCACGUAACUUGCACCUGUGACUUCUACCAGAUUUGACAAUUUGCUUGACUAUUCUGGUAAAAAUUUGGAUUCUUCCUUUGUCUUUUCACUUAUUUCCUGUUACUGAUCCAUCUCCAGCUCCUGGCCCUCGUCUUUAUCGUCUCUAUUGAAUACAUGUUCAUUCGUCCAUCUUCAUUUAAUUUUCAUUAUUGGUUUAUAGGUUGACUCCACUUCUGACCCUCAUUUGUACCUGCUAAUACCAUUCUGUCCAAGGUUCUAAGGUUGGGAUUCACUCUUGGCCAUAACUCUCCGGGCUACAUGUUCAAAUCCAUACCACUAUGGCAGCUUGACAUCUGCUUUAAAGAGGAAACUAGGAGAGGAUGAUUAUUUAGCUCAAAGGGAUAUGCCUGUUCCUUGGGUCCUUAAGAUCCAUUCCAAUUCUGAGGUCUUAUAUUAGAAUAGUGAAGAACAGGUAACAUGUGUAGCCUCAGUACAUCACCCAGUGAACAUUCAUUCUAAAAAUAAUGUAAGAGCUUACAGUUUUAGAACAUUUACAUAUUUUUUAAAAAAUGUGGAUCCACAUGACUUGCAGUUCUAUGUCAUGGAUGAGAAUGAGUCUCAGAGACCUUAGCUGAUUUACUCAAAGUCAACUGUAGUAGGAGGUGAAGACACCUUUGCACAUGAGCACAGAUAUUCUGUUUCCAAAGUUCUUUCUCCUCACAUUGAUCACAUGGAAACAUUUUAAGAGAAGUAAGAAAAGAGAUAUUUUGGAAGGCAGGAGGGUGAACCACUUCACAUAUUCCCUAAA